UGACGUGGUUGAACGAGUCGAAUUAAUUCCUGCAAACUUCAGACUCUCUGGUAUAACUCCAAUUUCCAUUUAUCCGAUGAAGAUCACCUUGGUGCCAUUGUCCUUCCCUGCGCUCCUGCUGCGGAGGUUUUAGACCGGAGAGCCUACGGGGGGAGAGUUGAAGAGAUCCCUUUUCCUUAUUUUUUCUGCUCAUUCCAUCCUUCUCCGCUCUGAGCGGAGAACCAACCGCGUUCAGCCAUUGAGGGGCAACUAUUUCAGAGCAUCUCGACACAUAGGCAAAUGGAGCAAACCUAUGGCGAGGUGAACCAGUUGGGCGGCGUGUUCGUGAACGGACGACCCCUGCCCAAUGCAAUCCGCUUGAGAAUAGUGGAGCUCGCUCAACUUGGAAUCAGACCGUGUGAUAUCAGCAGGCAACUGCGCGUCUCGCACGGCUGUGUGAGUAAGAUACUGGCGCGCUAUAAUGAAACCGGCUCCAUUUUACCCGGUGCCAUCGGUGGAAGCAAACCACGGGUGACUACGCCAAACGUGGUGAAAAACAUAAGGGAAUACAAGCAAGGCGACCCGGGGAUCUUUGCAUGGGAAAUCCGUGACCGGCUUCUCGCGGAUGGAGUUUGCGACAAGUACAACGUGCCGUCCGUCAGCUCGAUCAGCCGGAUUUUACGCAACAAGAUUGGAAACCUUUCCCAGCCGACCCAAUACGAAGGCGGCAAGCAGGGCUCCUCGCAGGGCGGCCUCUCAUACAACCACAUAUACCCUUAUUCAUACCCCAACACCAUGUCGCCAACGGGAACCAAGAUGGGCAGCCCACCCGGGGUACCGAUGACCGCGGGGCACGUCAGCCUGUCCCGGGCCUGGCCCUCGGCGCACACCGUCAGCAACAUUCUCGGUAUACGGGCUUUUAUGGAUCACACAGCGAUGGCUGGAGCGGAGGGAUAUCCUCCAAAAAUGGAGGACUGGGGAAGUGUCAACAGAGCCUCUUUUCCCGCGGCUCACUCAGUCAACGGAAUUGACAAAUCGGCCAUUGAUGCAGACAUCAAAUAUGCACAGCCAUCCUCCACAUUGUCCAGUUAUGUUCCAGCAUGCGCGUACUCUACAUCGAACCAAUAUGGCGUUUACAGUCCUGCUGGGAGCUACGUCACCCCUGGCCAUCACUGGCAGACGCAGUCCCACCCAGGCAGCGCCAUGAGCAUGCACGCUGGAGACAUCCAUUCUACGAUGGCGUUCAAGCAUCAGUCGAGAGACGGAGACAGAAAACCCUCCAGCCCAAUCAGCAAGCAGCAGCAGCAGCAGCAGCAGCAGCAGCAGCAGCAGCAGCAGCUGCAGCAGCAGCAGCACGACUCGCUGAACAGUGUACACGGACUCAGCCUGGCUACCUCAUCAUGAUAACGCCAGAGGGCCCCAGGCCUGACCCGGACUGAUAUAGGCCUACUCAAGGGCCACAGAAACAUAUAGGCCUCAUUUACAUAGACCUAACUGCAAGAAUUCCAACAUGUCCCCGGAUAUGAUGACCACUUGUUAAGUGAGGAGGACAGCGUCCAAUCAAAGAGCAUGGCAUGACCCAAUUCAUCCGUACAAAUUGCUGAGCAAGAAAGAAGGAUCGAAAAUGAAAAUAGAAACUAGUAGUGUGAGUUAUGGAGACACAUUUUGAAAUGUCUCUGCGGUCGGGCUUGGUAAGUGUUUCCAAACUCAUUGUGUUUCAUGCACUACAAAAUAAGUUCGACGCCUUUAGUGACGCUAUCUGACUCACUAAGGAUCUGUUGUAUUAUCCUGAGCUUCAUCUGAUGCGUGAAGCACCAAAUUAAGAGGAUUUUAGUUCGAAUAAUCAGAAUAAUUUAAAUACUCAGAAUAAACAUCGAGGCUAAAUGUCUAAAAUAAAUUGACUCCGAAAUUAUAUUUAGUUUCCUAAAUUGUAAGGGGUUCUGGAUUUGUCUUUGGUCUUUUCUACUGCUCCUUUUAUUAUUAUUAUUAUUAUUAU